UUCACAACAUAACCUUUUGAAGAAUUUAUUUAGUAUUAUUAACGUAGUUUUUAGAGUGUUUUUAGUGUUUUGUUUACAGCUGUCAUAGCAACAGAACUAACAGGCGCCGGGAGGAACAAGAGCGACUGCAGUCCUAGUUAGCUGAGGUUUUAUGUACAUAUUGUUUAAUUUACAUUAGUUAUCAGUUAUGAAUAUGUUACCUGUGAUCUGUUUAGCCAUAGGUAUUUCUGUGAGAAUGUUUAUGUACAGAAGAAAAAAAAGAAAUACAAAUCCAUUGUAUAUUGUACAGUAAAAUACUGGAUAGCAAUGAAGUGUGUAGAAGGGUAAAAAAACAAGUUGUGUCUUUAUAUGGAAGGAUAAAAGAAACUGUUCAUUACAGAAAUAAGCAUGUUGACAAAUGAAUGCCAAAAAAAUAACAUUGACCCAAUGUCUAAUAAAGAACAGAUUCCAGGAGGAUUUGAGAAGUUCGGAGUUGUGUCUGCCUCGUUACUUUAACCUGUUCUAUCCUGUUAACAGGAAAAUUCAACAUCUGUUACACCAACACCAGCCCUGGUGCGUGUAACAUAUAGACUAAUGGAUGAAAAACAUAGUGAGAUAUUACCAUCUAACUGUCUGCCAACCUUAGGUCUACAGAUAGAGGAAACAGCAUCAAGGGCACAAGCGGGUCCAGCAGCACCUUUUGCCACCUAGAGUAUUUUUUCAUAGGUGAUUCAUAGGCCUGAACCCAGAAAGGACAAAAGCUACAAACAGAAAAGAGACAUGAAAACCAACAGGAACAUGCAGUGAACAUGUGUCUCCAUUCUCCUCCUUCAUGGACUACCAGUGGAACUUUUGAAAUGCAACCAGAUGAUUUCUGGAGACGUUCAGGACUGAGACCAACUCAGAACUCAUCCAUGUUGGUUUUGUUUGGCUGUUCACUAAGUCUUAAACUUGUCCAAAUGUUUAAGAUGUACUGUUGGGGUUCCAAUAAAGUUUUGAAAAAUAUGUAACUUCCAAAUUUGA